rnacentral:lncRNA from 1 species
UCCGGAAUUGGAAGGCUCACCAGUGACCCUUAUCUGGAGGCUUGGAGAUCCUUAUCUGGAUCUUGGUUUGAAGAUCUUGAGCCAUAGUGGCUAUGGAUUCCAGAAGAUUGAAUCUCCAAGUUUAAGGAACACACCUUUAAUCUGGGCUACGCCUUUCAUCUGGGAUUAAAGGUGUGGUGGAACACACCUUUAAUCUGGGCUCCACCUUCUGCUGGAGACAAUAUAAGGACGUUGGAAGAAGGGAGUCUAGCUCUUGCUCCUGCUCCUUCGCCUGCUUGCUACGUGAGACUGAGUAACUGCUAGAUCCUUGGACUUCCAUUCACAGCUGCGACUGAACAAUUGUUGGGAAUUGGACUGCCGACUGAAUGAACAGACAACAACCAAACCCAACAAAACAAGAUAUAAUACAACAAAGCAAGUCCCUUAUUCCAAGACUGGACAAAGCAACCCAAUAGGAGGAAAGGGGUCUCAAGAGCAAGUUGAAGAAUCAGAGAUACCCCUGGUCCACUGCUAAAAAUCUUACACCAAGCUAAGAAUCACAACAUUGAUGCAGAAGGCCUGGGCAGACCAAUGCAGUCUGUGUGCUUGCACUUUCAGUUUUUGGAAGCCCACAUGAGUUCUGCUUACUUCACUCAGUGGCCCAUGUUCUCCUGCUGUCCUCCACCCCCUCUGACUCCUAUAAUCUUUUCCCCACUUCCGUGAGGUUCCCCGAGCUCCUAGAGGAGGGACUUAAUGGAGACCUUAAAUUUUGACUUUCUACUCACAUAAUAUUUAGUUAUGGGUCUGUAUCUGCUCCCAUCUGCUGCUGGAAGAAGCUUCUCUGAUGAUGACUGGACAAAGCACUGGUCUAUUAGGAUAGCAAAAUAUCAUUAGGAAUCAUUUCAUUGAUUUUAUUAAAGACCUGAUGUAUUUGACUCUAACCUAUGUCUCUGGGCUAUCCAGUCAGAUUCAUACCUUUAAAGAAAGAGCUUUUAUUUUUUUUCCUUUGCAGAUCCCUUUAGCUCCUUGAUUACUUUCUCUAGCUCCUCCAUUGGGGGCCCUGUGAUCCAUCCAAUAGCUGACUGUGAGCAUCCACUUCUGUGUUUGCUAGGCCCCGGCGUAGUCUCACAAAAGACAGCUACAUCUGGGUCCUUUCAAUAAAAUCUUGUUAGUGUAUGCAAUGGUGUCAGCGUUUGGAAGCUGAUUAUGGGAUGAAUCCCCAGAUAUGUCAGUCUCUAGAUGGUUUAUCCUUUUGUCACAGCU